AAUGGUGGUGCCAUCACAUUGAGAAAGGGUUGAGGACUGCGGUGGGGCUAUGCACCCUUGGGCCAUGGCGUUGGGGGCAUGAAAACCAGGAGCUUGAAAUAAAUUCUUAUGGAGGCUUUUUUUUUUCUUUUUUUUUUUUUUUUUGGAAUUCGUGGUGGGAGGUUUUUUUAGAACAGGAAAAUGGAAGAGAAUACAUUCUGUUAGCAGAGAGGGAAGACUGAUAAGCAGGAAACUGGUAAGGACCACAUUAUCUCCUGAUAGCUUGUGUAAAAGUAUUUCGUAGGACAGGAUACCUAAAAUUGAGUAAUCCUAAAUGGCGUGGUAACAUCAGUAGUAAACAAUGCUAAAAUAGACUUGGUAGUUAAGUACUUGGAGAGGAGAUGAGGGCUGGAAGAAUGGCACCCUAGGUACAGAGACUCGCUUCCUGUAGAGAGCUCACUGGAGGCGGCUGCCAGCUGUGUGGCCACUGUGGCCCCACCGGCUUUGUAGCUGGGCUCGUAGCUGCCGUUUCCCAGCCCUUGCUUCAGGCCUGGGGAAGUCCUGCUUGCACACACGGUAUGAGGUAUGGGGUGUUGUCUUGAAUGUGUGUGGUCCUGGGGCAUGGGGUUUGGCAGAACAUUCUGUGAAAAUGGAAUACAUAUAUGUUUUUUUUCGUGACACUUUUUUUCUUUUGCUUUUGGAGAUUUUUCAAUUUGGCUCCAGGACCUGUAUGAUGUUUUCAAGCUUUGCAGAGAUGCUCAAGAUAUGACUGGACAUUUUUGAAAGUUCCUGUGUCCUCUUCAACACAUCUUCUCACCAAACAUUAAUUGUAGUGUCUUUUCUUCCAGAAAACUUGCAUAAAAUGACUUCCUCUCCUGUGAAAACAGUGUCCUGCUCUGAAUGGAGCUUUAAAGGAGUAGCACAAAUUGUAAGAUGAUGUAUCUUGAGGCUGGGGCUUAGAGAUAUUCUGCUGCCUCCCAGAGCUUUGUGCAGACGGGUCUGCCAGGGUGGGAAAGGGAAGCCUCCGUUCUUUUUGGUAAGCUAGCAUAAAGACAGGUAAGGGAGUCUAUUUUCAAGAAAGCUGGAUCUGUUUCAUACUCUUUCUGCCCCUAAUCACUAUGGACAGCUCCAGCAGCACAAAGAGAUGAAGGGCAAAGGCAGGAUGCAGCAGGCAAAGUUAACAUUGUAUUUGUGAGUACAGUUGAGGAUAAAAAAGGGAUGAAAUCCACGGUGAGGACCAUCAUGGUGGGGGAAUAGUUUAUUCUAAUGGAUUCAAGAGCUUUGGAGACCAAACUAACACAUUUAUUUUUAUGUGUAGUUAAAGUCAUAGAAACCUGUUUUGUGAAACCUCAGAUUUCUAAAGAAAACCAGAAGCAAGACCUUCCUUGGUUUAAAAAAAAAAAAGCAUUUCUUCAAGCAGUUUGGACCUGUUUUUCGUGUGUAUAAAACAGCUUUUUAAAUGUCUAUGUAAAGAGCAUUGGGAUUGCUGUUGGUGGUUUUCUGUGCUACUUGAGAAAGUAAGUCUGUAUGUGUGAAACUCUUUUUUUUUUUUUGAGACAGAGUUUCGCUCUGUCGCCCAGGCUAGAGGGCAGAGGCGCAAUCUCCGCCCACUGCAAGCUCCGCCUCCCGGGUUCAACGCCAUUCUCCUACCUCAGCCUCCCGAGUAGCUGGGACUACAGGCACCCGCCACCGUGCCUGGCUAAUUUUUUGUAUUUUUAGUAGAGACGGGGUUUCACCAUGUUAGCCAGGAUGGUCUCGAUCUCCUGACCUCGUGGUCCACCCGCCUUGGCCUCCCAAAGUGCUGGGAUUGCAGGCCUGAGCCACCAAGUCCGGCCAAUGUGAAACUCUUUUAGAAAGGCCCAAGAGAUUUUUUUUCAGUAGAAUAAAAUACUGUUGGAUAAUCACUGGUAUAUGAAGAUUCUAUUUCUGUUAAAUUUGUUGAGUUUUAGGUGGCUUACAGUUAGUGACAGUAGUUGCACCCUCCAUUCAACAAGCUUAAUUUUACAGUUUAGGGAGGGAGGAUUUAUACUUUUGGAUUAACAGCAAGAAAAAUAGCAAAAAUUAAGAUGCAUCUUAAUUAGCACUUUCAGAAAUUAUUUGUGGAAUGAGACUGCAGUUACCAGAGCUCUCUGCAUUCUGCCAGUGCACAAGUCUUGGAGUCCAGCCUAUCUGGACUUAAGGCUCUACCACGCGCUACCAGGAGACCGUGGAAAUGGUAUUUAGCAUCUUGGAGCCUUGGUGUCAUUUGUAGAUAAGGUGCGUGGUCCUGAAGUCCUGGACUUGUGGAGAUGGAACGAAGCUUAGAUUAAGUCAGAUGCUUAGUGCUCCUGGCAACGUGCCUGAGGAGCUGUCAGUGCUGGGUGCUGUGGUUCCUGCCUGGACACCCCUUCACCCUGCUGCAGUCCAGUCCCUUGGUCAGGUCACUUUUUUUUUUUUUUAACUGCUCCUUGAGGAGCAGGACUACCCCAGAGGCAGUGUGGCUAGAGUAGCCCGGUCAGGUCACUUUGAACCCCAGGAGGCCUAGUAAACUUGCUUUGGGUGAUUUUAGGGUUUAAGUCAUCUGUAAGUGGUCUGCCCAGCUACCUAUAAAUCUAUAUCCAUUAAUUUUAAAUUAUGGAUUAAAAAAUUUUAAUUUCUAGUUAUUAUUUUUAUGACUGACUUCCCCUAGUCACAUUACUGAGCAAACUACACACAUCUUAUUGAUCCUAAGAAUUCUGUAAGGUAGAUGUUUAUUUAAACAACACCGUGUUUACUGUGUGCAAGAUGUUGUUUUAAGCACUCAGACAUAAUAACUUAUCUGGUUUUCAUCAUAACUUCAUAAGGGCAAAAAAGGCAAGUACUAUCAUGUGCACCGUCUUACAGGUGAUGGGAUUGAGGCACAGCGAGGUCAAGUUACGUGCCCAGGGUCACACAGACAUUAAUGACCUUUUUCCAUGACUGUGGAAGUGCUGAGGAGCUAGAGGACACUGUCCUUGUUAAACACCAACUGAGUGGGGCUUCCUAGCCCACUCAGCCUAAAGCUCAGCCCUCUGAAGAACCAAUGAGGAAACCAGUGGGGAAACUGGGAACUGCCGGCCAAGCCUGCCUCUACUUGGGGUCAGUGGCCUCACUGCAUUCCAUGAGCUUGCACAGUACCACUAUGUCUUAGUUUUGUGAAGCGUUUAAAUUCUGUAAAGCCCUGUCACCUGAUGUUUGAGCCCUAGAACAUAAUUGGUGUAUGGUAAAAGCAAGUGAUAGCCUUCCUUCUCAGAUAAAAAAGAGGUCACUGACCUGCUUAUGGUGAGAUCCUGUCUGAACUGGGCCUGGGACCCCAUCUCCUGACAGUGCAGCUAGCCUAGUUCUCUGUUUCCUGCUGCCUCAGUAACUGAAUGUAGUAAUUUCAUUUGGAGCAGAGGUCAGCUUGUCUUUGGAAAAGCCUCUAUUCAGCAGAAAAAGCAUCAGCAGUAUAUUUAAAAGCUGCCAUGUAAUGACUAUAGGGACUCCAUUGAGCAGAUCCUUUUCUUAUCUCCAGAUCUUUUCCCUCAACUUCCAGAGCAUGUCCUUACACCUGAGAUGUAGGUACCCCCAGCUCUGUCCCAUAUCCAGUGGCAUAGUAACCAGGUGGCUUAGUGGAGGAGGACGCAGGACCCUCUGUUGUGGUUUGUGCCUGUGGGGGCUGCCAGAGAGAGGGCUCACCCCAUGAUUGCCUUCACCCCAAUCUCUCACAUGCUUCAAAAGAGGGGUCUGGUGGGAGGGGCUGUGUUUAAGGGUGGGAUCUGGCAGCCUGUCAAAUCCUGGUCAGUUGGGAUUCAACGGACCCAUGACCACAAGCCUCAUGGCCUUUCCUGUUGACCAGCAGUGGCAGUGGGAACAACUCACCUUUUGAAAAUACAUAGGAAGGCCGGGUGCGGUGGCUCACACCUGUAAUCCCAGCACUUUGGGAGGCCGAGGCGGGUAGAUCACGAGGUCAGGAGUUCAAGACCAGCCUGGCCAACAUGUGAAACCCCGUCUCUACUAAAAAUACAAAAUUAGCCGGGCGUGGUGGCACAUGUCUCUAAUCCCAGCUACUCGGGAGGCUGAGGCAGGAGAAUCACUUGAACCUGGGAGGCAGAGGUUGCAGUUAGCUGAGAUCGCACCAUUGCACCCCAGCCUGGGUGACAGAGCAAGACUCCGUCUCAAAAAAAAAAAAAAAAAAAAAUAGGAAAAGUUAUCUCUGUGCUCCAGAAUUCUCUGAAACCUGCUUGUCAGAUGGACUAGAGGCUUUCGUAGAAAAGUCAGUUGCUUUUUGUUUUCUGAAAAUCAUUUUGUCCCGGGGAAAAAAAAAGCCUCACUGCAGAUAAUCAUUCUCUAUGUUAGGUGUUAAAAUCCUUUACACAGGAGUUGCAUAGAGCCCCUACUGCCUAGAAUGGUUCUUCUGAAAAGCUGCUAUUUGCGCUGUGUGGGUGGUUACUCAUUGAGGGGCAGAGCUGCUCUCGGUGAGCGGUGGGUCUCUUUGCCCUGGGUGUGUGGCUGUGUGGUUGUGUCUAGGAAGUGUGAAUCUCCAGUGUAGUGCUGUGGAAGAGAGGGGCAGGGAAAUAUGAACUCAAGAGGCGGUGCCUCAGUGCAGCUGCUGCUGUGGAGAGCUGUUGGGCUGUGGAGCAGGACGUGGAUCAGCACUGGACAAGACUUUGUUCAAGUGCAUGUAGAUACAGGACGAGCUUACUCUUCAUUUGCUUUUCGUUUUCUUAAGGAGGCUGUUUGCUGGGAUUUAAUAUUGUCUGUGGUUUUUUUUCAGGUUGUGAGCAUUUUUGCUCUUCAAUAUCCCAGCUGCCAGAGACAUAGGGAGAAUGGGGCUAGAGGUGGGGGAAAGAUUCUGAAAUGUACCUUAAUCUAGUCUCUUACACAGUCUUCCUUGGACAGGCUGAGGAGUUGGCAGAACAUUAUGUAAAAAGUGGAACUAACUUUGCUUUUUCUAACUGUUCCAAAGGCUACAAAUACCCCAAACUUGCAAAUACACAGGCCUGCACACUUGAGCCUGUGUUCCUCCCAUCCUUCUCCAAGAGAUCAGAAGCAAGCUGAGGGCCCGUAGAAAUUCUGCCAGCUGGGGAGGGUGUCUGGUUUUUCAAGCACAGUUGAGUGAUUCAGAGUGAAGUAGGCUGGGUGACAUCCUGGGAGCAGAGCAUGCCCCAGGCCUGUGUUAGUUUGAGGCAGCAGCAAAGGAGAGACCAAUCUGUUUUCUCCUUCAGAUGCAGAGUGGGUGAGAUGGCUGGCUUUUUCCAGGUUGCCGCCAGCUGGAAGCUUUGCCCACAGAUGUGGACUGUUUAUCUGUGGUUUGCUGUGUUUUCUUUUUUCCCUAGGACAGGAUGGGGGAGAUGGUGGGAUGGAUAGAAAGCAACAACGACAACAGAAAUUUAAUUGGUUAGUAAGACAGGAAAGCCAGCAGGGAAAGCUGACUUCCCUUAAUUGCCAAGAAUGUUGAAAAUUGUUUCUCAAAAUUACCCCAACUCCUAAAUUCUAUCCAGUGCCUCUUUACUGAGAACCUUUACAGUGCCUUGUUUGAAUAACGGGUUCAGUGAUGGAGAAGAGCCUCUUUACUGAGGCUAAAUUCUAUUCAGUGCCUCUUUACUGAGAACCUUAUACAGUACCUUGUUUGAAUAACGGGUUCAGUGUUGGAGAAAAGCAUUGCUGUUGAGGUACUUAAAUAAUUUAAUGAUGGGGAAGGGGACAGUGAUACAUAAGCAUUUAAUUAGACACCAUGAGCAGAGAAUGCUAUGGAAACCUGGAGGGGUGGGAAAGAUCGUUUGGGGUAGGGUUUAUGGGCUAGGAAAGACUUCAUAGAAAAGUUGACAAAUGGGAUGUUAUUUUAAAGGUCGAGAUGAAGUUGCACAUUCCUAGGUGGAAGGAAAGCAAGGAAUUGGGGGAUUUUUCUAUGAGCAUCCAGCACUGACCAGAACUCCUGCCCUCUAGGGUUGUUAAUGUUUCAUCUCUUAGCCCCUGAUGCGCUGGUCACUUCAGCCACAGGGUCAGGAAUUGUUCAGGCCCCCUUUUCUCCAUGUAGCUGUUUCCUUCCUUUAACUAGAUCAGUGCUCUUAGCACAGAGGGAUGGGGAUGGGAGGGAAAUUCAUCAAGGCAGGCUUUAUAUGUAGUUUGGUAUACACCGAGUAGGGGUGAGAACCAGGAUCAGUUGUUUUAUAGCAUGGCAAAUAUGUAUUGAUUUCUUU